CCUGCCUUUGCAGCUGUGCAGCGCUACUGUGAAUUUAACCAAAGUUCUCCAUUUUCCCUGAAGGAGUUCCCAGGCCUCUUAACUGCAGCCCUACAAUGAAUUGAAGAGGAGGUUGCUGGCCAAUCAGCACAGAAAAUGGAUUGUAAUUACUUCAGCCCCCAAAG